CAUGUGGGGCAAGCGUUGUUCGGAAUCACUGGGCAUAAAGGGUGCGUAGGUGGUCUGUUAAGUCAUGGGUGAAAGUCUGGGGCCCAACCUUAGAAUUGCCUGUGAUACUGGCGGACUUGAGUGCGUAAGGGGUAACCGGAACGAGCAGUGUAGCGGUGAAAUGCGUAGAUAUUGCUCGGAAGGCCAGAGGCGAAGGCGGGUUACUGGUGCGCAACUGACACUGAGGCACGAAAGCGUGGGGAGCAAACAGGAUUAGAUACCCUGGUAGUCCACGCCGUAAACUAUGGACACUAGAUGGGUGGUGAGCUAUCGCUGCCUGUCGGAGGAAAUUUGGUAAGUGUCCCGCCUGGGGAGUAUGGUCGCAAGGCUG
rnacentral:rRNA from 1 species